rnacentral:rRNA from 1 species
UACGGAAGGUCCGGGCGUUAUCCGGAUUUAUUGGGUUUAAAGGGAGCGCAGGCGGGCUUUUAAGCGUGACGUGAAAUGUGGCGGCUCAACCGCCGAACUGCGUCGCGAACUGGGGGCCUUGAGUGAGUACGACGUUGGCGGAAUUCGUGGUGUAGCGGUGAAAUGCUUAGAUAUCACGAAGAACCCCGAUUGCGAAGGCAGCCGACGAGUCCUUAACUGACGCUAAAGCUCGAAAGUGCGGGUAU